rnacentral:rRNA from 1 species
GAUGAACGCUGGCGGCGUGCCUAAUACAUGCAAGUCGAGCGAAUGGAUUAAGAGCUUGCUCUUAUGAAGUUAGCGGCGGACGGGUGAGUAACACGUGGGUAACCUGCCCAUAAGACUGGGAUAACUCCGGGAAACCGGGGCUAAUACCGGAUAACAUUUUGAACCGCAUGGUUCGAAAUUGAAAGGCGGCUUCGGCUGUCACUUAUGGAUGGACCCGCGUCGCAUUAGCUAGUUGGUGAGGUAACGGCUCACCAAGGCAACGAUGCGUAGCCGACCUGAGAGGGAGAUCGGCCACACUGGGACUGGUACACGGCCCAGACUCCUACGGGAGGCAGCAGUAGGGAAUCUUCCGCAAUGGACGAAAGUCUGACGGGGCAACGCCGCGUGAGUGAUGAAGGCUUUCGGGUCGUAAAACUCUGUUGUUAGGGAAGAACAAGUGCUAGUUGAAUAAGCUGGCACCUUGACGGUACCUAACCAGAAAGCCACGGCUAACUACGUGCCAGCCGCCGCGGUAA